UUAAAAAAAAGGGGGGAAAAAAAAAAGACGUUAACUUGAGACCUAAAACAAAGAAGACAUUUACGCAUAAUACUAUAAAUUUAUGUUGAGUUGGAUUUGAAAUUCAUAAACUUUUAAAAAAAAAUAUUGGAUUGCAUUUAAAAUUAUGGGAAUCUAUAAAUUGUUAGAGACCCAUCAAUUUUAACCUUUCAAACUUUUUCUAUUGAUUACGUUCAAAUCCAAAUCCAUAAAUAUUUAGCAAAUCCAAGCAAUGACUUUUGCCAGAAUCAAAACCCAUGGAUCAAACUUGACCAAUCCAAACACAACCUUUUUUUUUUUUAAUCUUGGAUUUU
rnacentral:misc_RNA from 1 species